CCACGCUGGGUUUUGUAAAACGAGGAGGAACUCACAGGAAGGUAAGGGAAAGGACGCUCAGACACGGAAAAUAAACAGCAUGUGCAAAGGUCCUUAAGACGGCUUUUCCCGCCAUUUCUCUGCGGCAAGAGGGGCAUCUCGGUACUCACACUGCCUGCUCCUCCAGCUCCCCUCCGAUGCGCUGGGACAUGUUCUUCAGCACCCCGAUGCUGCCAGAGACCAGCUCCAACUGCUCAUCCUGCUGUUCCACGAUCAGCUGGUGCCAGAGAAAUGGGAAAUCAGCAAUUAAAAUCCAUCUUACCUGGUUCCAAGCCCAGCACUCUAGCAGCUGCUAGCUUCCUUGCCAACUCGGGACAAUUCACAUUCAGAAGCAAAGCCCAGAAAUCAAAGGACCAGACCGUUGCCUCGGAGAACACGCUGCUCAAAAGGCUGGGUUGUAAAGCUACUGAUCUCCCCUGCUGAUCCAACUUGUGAACAGUCAGCGGGGCUUGAAACCACCCAGAGAGAUUUACCCUGGUUGGCUGAAGUCCAACAAGGGACAGACAAUGGCCGAAAGCACCUGUGCAGUGACCACAGACACAUGGGGACGCUUGGGAAGAGGAAGCCCGCUGCCAGGGUCAAGGUCUCAAUCGGCAACAGCCGGCCACAGCUUAACUACAAGAGAAAGUCUGGCAGAUCUCUAGAUGUGGGAAAACUACGCACACAGAGUCCUUUGCUCCCUCCUCAAGGACAACUAGAGGAGGCUCUGUGACAGCAAGCAGACAACUUCAGAGCCAUAGUUACUUUUAACUGUGUUGUAGUCGCCUUUUUAUUAAAAAAAAAAAAGUGUGCUUGGUUAAUAACAAUGUGAGUAGACAAAUGGUUAAGCAGACAUGCUAAUAGAAGAACAAAAGAACACAUAACCUACAUUGAAUAUAUUAAAAACAGUAUUUAAGAACCAGUAGUUUUGAUGGAUAGAUAAUCCUCAAAUCCCCAGAUACUUCAUCAUUAGCUUCCUUUUAUUAAUACAACUACAUAUCAAAAGCAACAAUACAAGGGUAAUCAACCUCACUUUCCUUCUACCCCUUAACCUCCACCAAAGCAAUCAUUUUUAUAUAUAAUGGAACCAAAAAUUUCAAUGAAAAAACAAGGACUAAAUUUUUCUAGAAGUGCCUUUGUUGAAAUGAACAAAAGCCGAGCACAGAAGUGGAGGCUGGGGAAGAGGCUGCUGUAUUUUCAAACCAAUGGCCUCCUCUGUCAGUUUCGGGUGUCUGGUCUGCUUGUCCUAAGAAAUCUAAUCAAGAUUGGUUCUCUGGAAACUCAUGCUCUGAAGGACGUUUUAAACAGCCUUUCUAUGUGCAAUCAUCACACAGGUAGACUCAGGCAGCUGCAGGGCGAGCUCUGGUCCAUCCUGCCUGUCAUUAGCAACAAAGCCCCCGGGGUGGCAGAGGAGCGGGGAGGGAGGUACCUGGCCUCCCACCUCCCUGUGCUCGGCUGGUGGUUCUCAGGUACCUGCUGCUGUGCCUGUUGCUCCUCGAUGAAAUGGGAGUUGGCCAACUGGAGCUCCCGGUCAAGGCGCCCAUAUUUAUCCAUCGUUCCAGUGUUCCAGUUCUGUCCGCCACUGUCUCCUAGCAGGGCCUGCGAGAGUGGGGCAGGGGGCAGCAGGGAAGAAGAAACAAACCAUUACUAUCUCUGAACAAAUACCCCAUCACCAUGAUCCAAAGAUUUCUCCCAGUGCUCAUAAGCUGGCCUCCCUGGGGUCAGCCUUUUAUGUAGUGGUGUAGGGUAGUGCCUGUGGGGUACAAUUUAAGGAAUGCCAGGAAGGGUACUCUCUAUUUCCAAGCUCUCCCAACGGGACUCACAAAUGGGCUCUGUCCCAUUAAAAUGCCAAUAAGUGUCAACUUGAAAUCAACAAACACCCAUCUGUGUACUGCUUUGUGGAUCUAAAGGCACUUGGUCUCUGUGCGCCAGUUCUUCCUAGCACCCUUGGAAGUUCACCAGAGACCUGUUGUAGGUUCUAGUCUAACUGAUUCCAGACAGCUAGAGUCCUUUCUAUUUAAGCAUGACCCAGGGAAGUUUUGGUUCUUUGGAGGGGAGGGGAGAGAGUUCCCUAAAAUGACAAGAAGCUAAGGCACAACCCCUCACACACAGAAGGCGCAAGAACCAUCAAUGUGUAUUCAAUGUAAUCCACAGAUAAAUCCCAAUGCCCUUCAGGUGAACUAAAAGGCUACAGGUUUCCCAGACAGAACUGGGGGUUUGUUUCACCAGGCAGCAUGGCCACAGCGGAUGCGUGACCCUGAUGACCCAGGCAAGCGUUGGCCCUGAAGUCAGUUCUCGACCUGGGCCCCCAGACGCCAGGGUCAGGUUUCUCAGUGUGAAUUUGAAGAAGUUUGUAGCCAGAAAAGGAUAAGUUUGGGAAUGUCUUCCUUCCUUGAAGAGGCCAGCCAACAAUGUGAGCUGGCCCUGCCUGGAAUGCCCACAAGCCUUUCUGACUUGGCCAAAGUACUGCUCAAACCAGCCCUGCACAAAGAAUUGGAAGACGCUGGCGAAUAGGAUUCUUCUUCCUUGAAGAGCUGUCAGAUCUCACCAGCUAAUGCCUGCACAGAUGAAGCUGACAUCUGAUCCUUCAUGUCCUAAUGAGAUAAACAGAACACCAGAAAACAAAUGAACAUCCUUAAACAAAAUCAUGGUUAAUAUUUUGCACACUAGCAAAAUAUGCAUAAUUUAUUAUUAAUUUUUAAACAAAAAUACAGCAUUCUUUGACUUCUAUUUUCAGUCUCAAAAAUAAAGGAAAUAAAGAGAAGGACAUGCCCUUAAAAAGAAGUAACCGGGAUACUAAAUUUAAAUAUGAGGAAAGAGAAAGUACUUCCUGGGUACCUACCAUAGGCCGGAAACACUGUUAAACAUGUACACAUAUGAUCACUGACUUCCCACAAUGCCCCUGUGAAGCUGGUAUUACCUUCAUUUUACAAUUGAGGACACUAAGAUGUAGAAAGACUAAGGUACUUUCUCAAGGUCACAUAGCCAGUAAAUGGCAACCCUGAGGUAUACAAACAAAAGCUGUGUUCAAGGGCUAGCAUCUUUAAGUAUAAUACAUGUAAAAAAACCAUGCACUUUAUGAUAAAGUAUAUUUACCAUUACAUGCCAGAGAAUAUUUUCAAAUAGUGAUAAACAGGUAACGUAUUUUAUUUGAGUUGCGUUCAUGUGAAGUACAGACUAUUUCUAACACCAGUAUUUUCCAGAGUGGUAUCAAAAAUAAUUUUGUAUGCAAAGAAAAAUGAAUUACUUAAUCUAAAACAAAACACUUGGGGAUUCCCUGGUGGUGCAGUGGUUAAGAAUCCACCU